rnacentral:rRNA from 1 species
GAUGAACGCUGGCGGCGUGCCUAAUACAUGCAAGUCGAGCGAACAGAUAAGGAGCUUGCUCCUUUGACGUUAGCGGCGGACGGGUGAGUAACACGUGGGUAACCUACCUAUAAGACUGGAAUAACUCCGGGAAACCGGGGCUAAUGCCGGAUAACAUUUAGAACCGCAUGGUUCUAAAGUGAAAGAUGGUUUUGCUAUCACUUAUAGAUGGACCCGCGCCGUAUUAGCUAGUUGGUAAGGUAACGGCUUACCAAGGCAACGAUACGUAGCCGAAGUGAGGGGGUGAUAGGCCACACUGGAACUGGGACACGGUCCAGAGUACUACGGGAGGCAGCAGUAGGGAAUCUUCCGCAAUGGGCGAAAGCCUGACGGAGCAACGCCGCGUGAGUGAUGAAGGUCUUCGGAGCGUAAAACUCUGUUAUUAGGGAAGAACAAAUGUGUAAGUAACUGUGCACGUCUUGACGGUACCUAAUCAGAAAGCCACGGCUAACUACGUG